rnacentral:misc_RNA from 1 species
GAUGAAGAACGUAGCGAAAUGCGAUACGUAAUGUGAAUUGCAGAAUUCAGUGAAUCAUCGAGUCUUUGAACGCACAUUGCGCCCGGCAGUACUCUGCCGGGCAUGCCUGUUCGAGCGUCAUUUCAACCCUCAAGCCCUGCUUGGUGUUGGGGUCCCACGGCCGCCGUGGGCCCUGAAAGGAAGUGGCGGGCUCGCUACAACUCCGAGCGUAGUAAUUCAUUAUCUCGCUUAGGGCGUUGGGCGGCGCUCCUGCCGUUAAAGAACCAUCUUUAACUCAAGGUUGACCUCGGAUCAGGUAGGAAUACCCGCUGAACUUAAGCAUAUCAAUAAGCGGAGGA